GACGAACGCUGGCGGCGUGCUUAACACAUGCAAGUCGAACGAUGAAGCCGCUUCGGUGGUGGAUUAGUGGCGAACGGGUGAGUAACACGUGGGCAACCUGCCCUCAGCUUUGGGAUAACUCCGGGAAACCGGGGCUAAUACCGGAUACGACCAUUCCCCGCAUGGGGUGGUGGUGGAAAGUUUUUCGGCUGGGGAUGGGCCCGCGGCCUAUCAGCUUGUUGGUGGGGUGAUGGCCUACCAAGGCGUCGACGGGUAGCCGGCCUGAGAGGGCGACCGGCCACACUGGGACUGAGACACGGCCCAGACUCCUACGGGAGGCAGCAGUGGGGAAUAUUGCGCAAUGGGCGAAAGCCUGACGCAGCGACGCCGCGUGAGGGAUGACGGCCUUCGGGUUGUAAACCUCUUUCAGCUCCGACGAAUUCAGACGGUAGGAGCAGAAGAAGCACCGGCCAACUACGUG
rnacentral:rRNA from 1 species